rnacentral:rRNA from 1 species
CCUACGGGUGGCAGCAGUGAGGAAUAUUGGUCAAUGGACGAGAGUCUGAACCAGCCAAGUAGCGUGAAGGAUGACUGCCCUAUGGGUUGUAAACUUCUUUUAUAUGGGAAUAAAACAGGGUAUGCAUACCCUCUUGUAUGUACCAUAUGAAUAAGGACCGGCUAACUCCGUGCCAGCAGCCGCGGUAAUACGGAGGAUCCGAGCGUUAUCCGGAUUUAUUGGGUUUAAAGGGAGCGUAGGUGGAAUGGUAAGUCAGUUGUGAAAGUUUGCGGCUCAACCGUAAGAUUGCAGUUGAAACUGGCAGUCUUGAGUACAGUAGAGGUGGGCGGAAUUCGUGGUGUAGCGGUGAAAUGCUUAGAUAUCACGAAGAACUCCGAUUGCGAAGGCAGCUUACUGGACUGCAACUGACGCUGAUGCUCGAAAGUGUGGGUAUCGAACAGGAUUAGAUACCCCUGUAGUC